rnacentral:tRNA from 1 species
UGUAUAUAUAAUUUAAUUAAAAUACUAGGCUGUGAUCCUAGAAAUGAAAGUUAAACCCUUUCUAUAAACC